UUUCCGUAGGUGAACCUGCGGAAGGAUCAUUAUUGUAUAACCGAGGUGCGAGGGCUGUCGCUGACCCGAAAGGUCGUGCACGCCCGAGUGCCCUCACACACAGCCAUCUCACCACUAUGUGCACCACCGCGUGGGUCCCCCUUUGGCUUGUUCGGCGGGGCGCUUACGUUUUCACACAAACUUUGUAUGCAGUGUAGAAUGUAUUUUUUGUUUUUGCGAUCACGCAAUCAAUACAACUUUCAACAACGGAUCUCUUGGCUCUC
rnacentral:misc_RNA from 1 species